rnacentral:rRNA from 1 species
UGGGGAAUAUUGCACAAUGGGCGAAAGCCUGAUGCAGCAACGCCGCGUGAGUGAUGAAGGCCUUCGGGUUGUAAAGCUCUGUCUUCUGGGACGAUAAUGACGGUACCAGAGGAGGAAGCCACGGCUAACUACGUGCCAGCAGCCGCGGUAAUACGUAGGUGGCAAGCGUUGUCCGGAUUUACUGGGCGUAAAGGAUGCGUAGGCGGAUACUUAAGUCAGAUGUGAAAAUCCCGGGCUUAACUUGGGAACUGCAUUUGAAACUGGGUAUCUAGAGUGCGGGAGAGGAAAGUGGAAUUCCUAGUGUAGCGGUGAAAUGCGUAGAGAUUAGGAAGAACACCGGUGGCGAAGGCGACUUUCUGGACCGUAACUGACGCUGAGGCAUGAAAGCGUGGGGAGCAAACA